rnacentral:tRNA from 1 species
GGGGAAUUAGCUCAGUUGGGAGAGCGUCUGGCUGGCAGCCAGAAGGUCACCGGUUCGACCCCGGUAUUCUCCACCA